CACGAAAUAAAAAGAAAAACUUUAGGUUUCUUCUCCGUCAACCACCAGUUGCAUGCUAAACAAGAUCGAAUGCCCGUAUUGAAAUCCAGGGUUUGAGAACAACAUGAAUAUUUAGAGUUUUUGCAAGGGGAUCCGAAACAGGCACGAUUUUGCUCAAAAGGAUACGAACCAAAAUACGAUUUUUGUUGGUGAGGAGUUAUUAUACAUCUUAUUCAAGAACUAUAAAAACCUAUAUUUGAAGGCGGAAUUGGUAAUUUAGAAUGUACAUGUUCUUUUGAGUUACUUGAUUUUGCAUUCUAGAAGUACCAAUUUGAUCCUCAAUGCUUAGUAGGAUUAUCCAAACAGCUGAUCCAAACUAUAGCUUUCUAAUGUUCCAUUGGGAUCAUCAGCAAAAACGAAAAUGUUGCUUAACCGCAUUGAACAACACUGUAAUUUAUGAUCCAAACUAUAGCUUCCUAAUGUUCCAUUGGGAUCAUCAGCAAAAACGGAAAUGCUGCUUAACCGCAUUGAACAACACUGUAAUUUCUGAUCCAAACUAUAGAUUUCUAAUGUUCCAUUGGGAUCAUCAGCAAAAACGAAAAUGCUGCUUAACCGCAUUGAACAACAUUGUAAUCUAUUAGGCAAUGUCGAGGAGAGUGUUCUGCGCGCUCUACAAAAGUGGUAGAGAGCAUGCAUCUUAAUUAUGAAGGGUUUUAACUUAACAUUUUCGGCAUGGUUUAUAAAGGCGCUUUUGGAGCGCGCUUUUGGGCGCUUUUUUGCGCUUCAGGUCCUAGGCGUUUCUAGAGCGUCGCUUUACGAAUUGGUUUACAUUAUGAUAUAAAAAUCUGGCUUUUGAAGCCCAGUAGGGCCUGUUUUACGUUUUCUAACUAAAUACUAAUAGACCUAACUUAUGAUGAUCAUGAUGACGAUGACUGUCUACAUGAUGAUAUGAAUGAUGUUGACAUUCGUGGCUAGUAUAUUCAAAUAGCUAUUGGGCAGAAUAAGCAGUGAGCAUUAUCAAUAUGCUAUAUGCUUAGUUUAAUUGUUCCUUUUAUUAUGUCUGAACUUCAUAGUUUUCUUUAAUUAGGUUGAAAAACUUCCUGUUUAUAUAUAUUAUUAUAUACUUUAAAAAUCUCGUUUUCACUUUACGCUUUUGUCGCGCUUUACGCUUUGCUAUGAGAGCGCUUCGCCUCGCGCUUUAGCUUUUUAAAACCUUGAUUUUCGGUGUAUGUUACUCAUAUUGCAUGUAGCAAGACUUUUAUGGCUGCAGAACACAAAAAGAAAGAUUUAUGUGGCUAAAUGCUCCGCAAAUUUCACUGAUGUGAGUUGUUUUUCUCAUUGGUCCGCCAGUUACUUAUGGCUAUAAUUUGGUUAGAAAAAGUCUUUAUUUAAGCCAAUUAGCUCAAUUGAUUUGUGGAGAUUGAAAAAAGAUUUUAACAUUGAGGAUUUAAAGAGCAAUAGAAGGAACUACUUUUGUCAUAUAUAGACUAUUGGUGGUUUGCUUUGUAGAGUAGUAAAAUUAAAUAUCUGCAUUUGCAACUAUUUUAAACAUGAGCGAUUUAGUGGUUGAUUCUUUGGAUGACUUAGACACUUCAUACUAAAAACAAUAGUCUGCUACAAUUCUGUGUAUUGUGUUUUACAUUCUCUACCAAAUUUCCAGGUACAAGUAGAAAAUCCCUGUACUUACAAGCAUUUUUUCCUGCCUAUGUUUGGUCCAAGGUUAUCUUUUAUCGGGAAACCUUGGUUGGUGCGUUCUUAUUGUGACAAAAUUACAGUUGGGAUACUUAAGUGUUUGUGAGAACCUUUUAUACAAACAAUUCGUUCUUAUUAUUGGCGUCAUGUUCUAUCUUUCUCCAUAUUUGACUCAGAUAACAAGUGAUCGGUGCGUGGAUUUUCUGAUGGAUUUUUAUUCUCAUCCAGAGAGUAGAUGAUACAUGAUGUAAAGGGAUUCUAUUUGAAACUCGAAGCAGUGACUUUCCCAAAGGUCAAAGGAUGCUCAGGAUGACUGCUUAUGUGGUACGACUUAAUUGAAGAUUAUCCAUGGAGGGGAAAAAUGGGGUUGAUGCUAAUCAAAUCCUCCCAUGUACUACGGUCCGUAAACAAUUAAUCUUUUCAGAUUUUUUUUCAUUAGUUUUUUCUUUUAAUAUAAUCCCUUGUCUUCAAUUCCUAAUAACCUUGGUGCUAUUUCAGUACAAAGUGAUGGUGAUAAUGGAUUAUCCGAAACUUAAAGCAAAAGUGUGUUUGAGUUUGCUUACUUUAUUUUUCAACAUUCAAGUUUGCGAACCUCAGUUUCAUGGCAGACUCCAUUACUGAAUGUGAAAAGGGAAAGAGAGGGAUCUCAAGUCUAAUUUUUUACUUUAGCAGUAGGUGACAAAUUGAAUGUGCAGUCCGUAAAAGGUGAAAUGAUAUCAUUAUUGUCGUUGGUACUGACAAAUUGUUUGAGUGAGAUUAUAUGGUGUUGCCACUGUAAUUUUAUUUCAGGUAAUGUGGUCUUAACUUUGUGUUUCCUGUACCCGAGAGGUCAGGGAGUAGCUGAUGGCCUGGGCGUGGAGGUUUAUGCGUUAAAGAUACAUGAGGCAAAGAAAAGGUUUGCAAUGGAGGAUGCAUUACUCAAGGUCGGAGUGGAACUGGGUUACCAAAUUACAGUUGAUGAGUCUAAUAUGAAUAAAAAUAUUUCACAGUGGGAAGAUGAAGUGCCCACAUGGAUUGUAUGAUCUCCACAUCCAGAAUUUGUCCAGGAUGGCAAAGAGUACCCCAGUGAUAUCUGGCAAAGAAAUGCAGGACAAAACUUGGAUUGGAAAUCAUACUUAGUUGCAUUUGAUUGUUUUAGGGAAUUGCAUCCAUGAUAUGGACUAGGAUUAACAAAGAAGUCAGGUUUUUUAAUGAAUGGAUAAUACAUGUCUUUUGUAUUAUUCUAUAUUGUCAUUAUGCGAAAACGUACUUUGUGCAAUUUAUCUCGUUAAGUGUUUCA